GAGCGUUGGUACUACACAACAUUAAUAUCUAAAUCAUGUAGUGACCUUCAGAACAACAAAUCGUGACACUUAAUUACUGUGUACCUCAAUAUUAAUACCACGAAUGCCUAAGUGUGGACGAGUGGGAUGAGAGAAGAAAAUUAAAUGUGAGGUGGCAACUCCCCCUGUAUCACUCCGCGGGGAAACAGUGACGUAAUCAUGCGCCAAGAAAUAAGAGUUAGUUGGCGCGCGAUAAUGGGUGAGUGUAAGACAGAGAUCCUUCAUUACGUUCCUUGGUGUGAGGGGGCCGAGGCAUUAUCUACAAGACCUGUGUGCCGUGCCUUUACGUGCAAUGGUGUUUUUGUGUGGCUUUUGAAAAGUGUUCGAGUUGGUGAAUAAGUGUGCACGAGGAAGCAACACGGGAUUACUGACGCCGCAAGACACGGGAAUUCCAGACUGAAGUGUUGAGGGAGGCUACACACAAAACAGUAGCAAGGGACAAUUCCACUUCUCGGAAAAGAAGAUUUCACCUCUAAGACGUGUCAAGGCGCUUUGGAUGCUCCGGGCCAUCCAUCCAGGCUUGCACUCCCUUUCUGGCGAGGGAAGGGGAGGAGGGGGACACCCAACCACCUGUCCAGCGGAGCGAGGGGAGAUGGAUGGUCGCGGAUGGUUGCUCUGCCUCCCUGGAUUGGCUGGCCGCUGUGUGGAAUGCUUGAGAGGUGUGUUAAUCCUCCUCUCCUGAAGUGGUCUACGGUGAAGGGAGGAGAGAAGAGACACAGACAAAGAGUUCCAGAGUUUACCAGCUGAAAGGAGAGAAGCGGGAAAAGGUAGUGUUCGAGGAAUCAGCAGCGUCCCGGAGCAGUGAGUGAAGCGAAGCGGCAGUGGAGGAUUGGGGAGACCUGAGUGAGUUUAUCUUUUCAUUGGUUAUCCAUCCUCUCGUUGCCUUUGCUUUGAUAGAGAAAAUGUGGUAGAGGAAAAUUCAUCUGACUUCUAAUUUUUUUUUUUUUCAGCAGUUUGCAUGAAUAUUUAUAGGUGAGCAGAGUGAGUAUUCUUAUUUCUACUGAUAUGUAAUGUGAUAUUCUCUCUGCUUUGAACUAUUUUCCUCUCUAUUUUGGCCAGACAUCGAUAUCUUCCGUAGAUAUUUAUUAUGUGAAGUUUUUAGUAAUGUUUCCCUUCAUUGGUUACCUAUUGUGAUA